rnacentral:sRNA from 14 species
UUCUCAUUGGUUCUUUGGCGGCUACGGACAUUAUGUUAUCCUUGAUACAAUGUUCGAUAUGAUAAAAAGUACUGAACCACGUUUCCCGAUUGAAACUGCGAUAUCCCUGGUAAUAGAAGUUACAUAGACUUCUAUACGACUGGUUCCAAACUAGACGAUCAGAACAAAACGACAAUUUUGCUGUCGAUAUAACAUUAUACUUGCUGUGUGCACAUGCAAACUAAAAAGAAGAAGCCGUUUGCUACAUGGAUUACGACUCCAAUAAAUCGAGAGUUGAUACAAUGGACCAGAUGCUUGACACAUAUACAUGGAAGCGCUCAAUCAAUCGCUGGAUAUUGGCCAUGUUUUAUAAUAUGGUGGACAUUUCUGCAUUAGCUACAUUUAUUUCAUACAACGAGAUGAAGUCAAUAAAAGAAAAAAAGAAACUGACAAAACAAUUGGCACUUCCAAACAUAGAAGAAUGAGCGCUGAAAAACCUUAUAACUGCAUAUCCAAGGAUGUGGAACGCAAUGGAAGCAUUUGAUGUAAUGAUGUUAUCAAUACCGACAGAAGGAACUGCGCCGUCGUUUGCGUCUAGAACGAACAGACCGUCCUGUUGCCUAUGUCGUUCUGAGUUCGGACGGCAGCGGAAAACAAGGGCCUAUUGCAAUUCCUGUAACAAUUCAGUUUGUGCAGAGCAUUCAACACUAAUGCAUCGAUGCUACACCUGCACAGACAAUAGAUUUUUAGACUCAUGGAUUCGAACCCAGGCGUUCAGCGUCAUAGGCGGACAUGCUAGCCUCUUCGCUACGGUGGUCUCCGUAUGU